rnacentral:rRNA from 1 species
CGUGCAGGCGGCCACCGCAAGUUGAAUGUGAAAUCCCUGGGCUUAACCCGGGAAGUGCGUUCAAGACUGCGGGGCUUGAAUACGGGAGAGGAUCGUGGAAUUCCUGGUGUAGAGGUGAAAUUCGUAGAUAUCAGGAGGAACACUCGUGGCGAAGGCGACGGUCUGGACCGAUAUUGACGCUGAGACGCGAAAGCGUGGGUAGCAAACA